UUUCCGUAGGUGAACCUGCGGAAGGAUCAUUAUCGAAUGA
rnacentral:rRNA from 1 species